UACGGGGGGAGCAAGCGUUGUUCGGAUUUACUGGGCGUAAAGGGCGCGUAGGCGGCGCGACAAGUCACUUGUGAAAUCUCUGAGCUCAACUCAGAACGGUCAAGUGAUACUGUCGUGCUAGAGUGCGGAAGGGGCAACUGGAAUUCUUGGUGUAGCGGUGAAAUGCGUAGAUAUCAGGAGGAACACCGAUGGCGAAGGCAGGUCUCUGGGCCACUACUGACGCUGAGAAGCGAAAGCAUGGGGAGCGAACAGG
rnacentral:rRNA from 1 species